rnacentral:rRNA from 1 species
GAUGAACGCUAGCUACAGGCUUAACACAUGCAAGUCGAGGGGCAGCAUGAACUUAGCUUGCUAAGUUUGAUGGCGACCGGCGCACGGGUGAGUAACGCGUAUCCAACCUGCCCUUUACGCGGGGAUAGCCUUCUGAAAGGAAGUUUAAUACCCGAUGAAUUCGUUUAGUCGCAUGGCUUGAUGAAGAAAGAUUUAUCAGUAAAGGAUGGGGAUGCGUCCCAUUAGCUGGUUGGUGGGGUAACGGCCCACCAAGGCGACGAUGGGUAGGGGUUCUGAGAGGAAGGUCCCCCACAUUGGAACUGAGACACGGUCCAAACUCCUACGGGAGGCAGCAGUGAGGAAUAUUGGUCAAUGGGCGCGAGCCUGAACCAGCCAAGUAGCGUGGAGGACGACGGCCCUACGGGUUGUAAACUCCUUUUUAUAAGGGGGAUAAAGUUGGCCAUGUAUGGCCAUUUGCAGGUACCUUAUGAAUAAGCAUCGGCUAAUUCCGUG